UACGGGGGGGGUAAGCGUUGUUCGGAAUUACUGGGCGUAAAGGGCUCGUAGGCGGCCAACUAAGUCAUACGUGAAAUCCCUCAGCUUAACCGGGGAACUGCGUGUGAUACUGGAUGGCUUGGAUGUGGGAGAGGGAUGCGGAAUUCCAGGUGUAGCGGUGAAAUGCGUAGAUAUCUGGAGGAACACCGGUGGCGAAGGCGGCAUCCUGGACCAUUAUUGACGCUGAGGAGCGAAAGCCAGGGGAGCAAACGGG
rnacentral:rRNA from 1 species